UUUUAUUGAUAUUAUUUUUUGUGAAAAGAUUAGUUUAAAUUAAAAGAAAUAAAUUUAAUUGAAGUAAAAUUUUUGAAAAAAUUAAGUUUUUAUUAUAGAUUAAUAGUAUUGAGAAAGAAUUAUUAUAAAAUGGAAAAAGAAGAAAAUUUAUUGUACCUUGUGUAUCAGGGUUUAUUAAAUAAAAAAAAUAUUUUAAUUUCUCGAAUUUAAAAGAGCUAAAGUAAUAUAAAUUUUAUUGUAAAAUAAAUAUUUAUAAUAUUAUUUUAGUAGUGAAACGUUAUUCGUUUUUAAUAUAUCUAGUUAUUUAAGAAAAAAGUUGAAUUUUAUUUUUAAUAAAUAUUAAAUUAAUUAUUUAAUUAUAGAUAUUAUUAAAAUUUUAUUUUUAAGGGGAUUAGCUCUUGAAAAGAUGAUUAAAUAAAAAUAGAAGUAUGUAAAUUUUAUAGGAUUAGAAGUUUCUAUUAAUAAAAUAAUGUUAUAAUUAAUUUUAUAAAAAAAAUUAUUUGUAUUGGUUUUAAAUUAUUUAUUAGAUUGUAAUUGUAAAUUUAAAUUAAUUAGUAAUAAUGAUAGAAUUAGUAAUUGAAAUUGUUCAGGUUAAUUAUAAAUAUUAAGAUUAAUUAAAGGAAUUCGGCAAAAUAUUUUUCACCUGUUUAUUAAAAACAUGGCCUUUUGAUUAUAAUUUAAGGUCUGACCUGCCCACUGAUUAUUAAAGGGCCGCGGUAAUUUGACCGUGCUAAGGUAGCAUAAUCAUUAGUUUUUUAAUUGAAAGCUAGAAUGAAUGGUUGGAUGAAAAAAUAACUGUCUCUAAUUUAACUUACGUUGAAUUUUAUUUUUAAGUUAAAAAGCUUAAAUAUAUUUUAAAGACGAGAAGACCCUAUAGAGUUUAAUAAAUUAAUUUAUUAAUAUUUUUAGAAAUGUUAUUUUAAUAAGUAAAGUUUAUUUGGUUGGGGUGAUUGUAAAAUUUAAUGAACUUUUGUUUUUUUGAAACAUAAAUAAAUGUUUUUUUGAUCCAAAAAUAUUGAUUAUAAGAUUAAAUUACCUUAGGGAUAACAGCGUAAUUUUUUUUGAGAGUUCUAAUCGAAAGAAAAGUUUGCGACCUCGAUGUUGGAUUAAAAUUAAUUUUUGGUGUAGAAGCUAAAAAUAAUAGGUCUGUUCGACCUUUAGAAUUUUACAUGAUCUGAGUUUAAACCGGUGUGAGCCAGGUUGGUUUCUAUCUUAAAGAAAAGGAUAUAUUUUAGUACGAAAGGACCAAGUAUAUAUUAAAUUAUUUAAAUUUUGAAUAAAAAU
rnacentral:rRNA from 1 species